rnacentral:rRNA from 1 species
AGAGUUUGAUCCUGGCUCAGGAUGAACGCUGGCGGCGUGCUUAACACAUGCAAGACGAACGAUGAUCCGGUGCUUGCACCGGGGAUUAGUGGCGAACGGGUGAGUAACACGUGAGUAACCUGCCCUUGACUCUGGGAUAAGCCUGGGAAACUGGGUCUAAUACCGGAUAUGACUCCUCAUCGCAUGGUGGGGGGUGGAAAGCUUUUGUGGUUUUGGAUGGACUCGCGGCCUAUCAGCUUGUUGGUGAGGUAAUGGCUCACCAAGGCGACGACGGGUAGCCGGCCUGAGAGGGUGGCCGGCCACACUGGGACUGAGACACGGCCCAGACUCCUACGGGAGGCAGCAGUGGGGAAUAUUGCACAAUGGGCGCAAGCCUGAUGCAGCGACGCCGCGUGAGGGAUGACGGCCUUCGGGUUGUAAACCUCUUUCAGUAGGGAAGAAGCGAAAGUGACGGUACCUGCAGAAGAAGCGCCGGCUAACUACGUGCCAGCCGCCGCGGUAAUAC